rnacentral:piRNA from 1 species
UGCCUCCCCUCUUUGUCCCUGGAUGUC